rnacentral:tRNA from 1 species
GCUGAUGUAGCUCAGUAGGUAGAGCGCAUCCUUGGUAAGGAUGAGGUCACCGGUUCGACUCCGGUCAUCAGCUCCA